rnacentral:misc_RNA from 1 species
CGUUAUAUUCGAAACUACGUAUUUCACUUUCGAAUAUUUAAUGUUUCUCUUUUUUAAAAUUUUAAUAUUCCGAAGUUAUGUUCUUCGCCUGAAGAUGACAUUGAUAAAAAUAUCGGAAGUGCUUGUGUUGAUAAUAAAAACGUUUUUCCGAAAAGCAGAAAAUCUACACAAAUCACAAACAUAUUGAUUAUAGUAUGCGUCGUUUCUGUGCUAAUCGCUGGAAUCUUCAUAAUACUUUUAAUAUAUUCAAUUAAAAAGAGAUUACUUGAUAUACGAAUGAGAACUGAAAAUCGGCCAACUUCUCAACUCGAAGAUUUUGAAUCUUAUGAUACUACCUGUUAUACAAUAGAAACAGUUCAUGAGGAAAUAGACAGACCACCAUCUUACGAGGAAAUAAUAAGGACUUCUGCAAGCACAUGCGAUUUAAUAACUCAUGAAAUGAUAUCUGACGUAUCCUGUCCCAGUUAUGCAGCAGUAAUGAUGCAGCAGCAGCAGCAGCAGCAACAGCAACAACAACAAAGAAUACGUUCUUUUUCACUGUAAUAUUAUUAAGUAACGUUUAUUCUGUAAAUAGUUUUUCAGAAUAAAAUUUAUUAAACUUUA